GGGGUUGGCGGUCGUUGCCGCGGCGGCUCGGGGUUCGCUGAGGGGAGCCCCCCCCACCCUCCGCCUUCAGGCCCUGCCCGCGUAGGCGCUGCUUGUGGGGGCUGCACGUUUGUGAGGCGGAAAGCCAAUAGUGCAUGGCACUGGCAAUGUUGUCCCUCCGGUUUGGUUCUCGCGGCUCGUAGGAAGUUGGGGGACUGCCGCCUUUUGGGGGAGAGAUUCAUCUUUCCCGCAGAAUUCCCAAGGCUUUUCCCUGUGCCGUGUUUCCAAGAUGCAGAAUUGAACACUGGUAUUGCUGAUAAUAAAAACACUUGGGGUUUACUUGUCUCUGAAGCUUACUUGAGCCUUUACAGUGAACUCGAAUCCCAUUCACAGGCUUUCCACUGCGACCGCCAUGUAAUCGUUUGUCUUCAGGACCUGAAGGCUUCCCUUACAGCAAUAAAAGGUCGCAACAGUAAGGUUUUUGCCGUGCCUCCCUGCCUUUGGUGCUCCAACUGCUGUUAAGCAACACUGGAAAUACCUUGUCUGCGUGACUGGUGUGCUCUUCCCAGAGAGUGCUUAGGAAGGACCUCACAUUUUGGGGUCAUCAGUCCAGUAACUUGCAGCACCGUAUUCAGUACAACCUUUUUAUCAAAAGGACAGUACAGGAAAGAGUUUUUUGCCUUCUGUCAAGCAAGAUGAUUUCUGAGGGAAAGCAAAAAUGUAGCACACAGGCCCUGACUGAAGAACCAGAGGCAAACAACGGCGGCACAAUCUGCUGCAGUACUGAACUGGAAGAAGGCUGCUGGGGGCUGUGUCCCAGCUAGUGCCAGAAAAUUGUGAAGAAACAAAAAUCCUGUAGGUUGGACACUGUGGCAGUGGUUUAAAAGCAUAAUUCCUAUGAGCCACCGAGAUGGUUAACGAGGUGCAGAUAGAGAACAGGAUGAAAGCUGAAUGAAAAACCCCGGGAAGAUGCUGGGCUGCCGGAGCGUGGACGAGCCGGGAUUGUGCCCUGAACUUCACCCGCUUGGCAGCCGCUGUUCCUAAGCCAUUUCCCCUCUCCUCCCCUGCCUCUUUGCCUCCCGGACCGGCAGUCUGCUCUUUAAAGUUGAUCUGAAGGGGAAAGCAGAGACGAGCUUGUGCAUAGUUUGGAGGCUUCUGAUCCAUGAAAUAAUCAAGCCCACCGUAUCUCUGUAUCCCACUCUGGAAGAUCUGCCUACUUGGAGUUAAGAAGUUUAACAAGAGAGGCUUAUGCAUUUGUGAGGGCAUGGAUGCUGUGGAAGGAAAGAUUGGGUCUAACUUUUAGUUUCAGAGGAUCAAAUGCAACAUGCUGAAAGGGAAGACAGCUUUACCAACCCACUUCAAAGUAUGUGGAGCUGCAAACAGAAUGCUGGAAAGAUGUAAAGCUAAGGAAAACUCAGAAUGCUUGGGAAGAAAGAGAGCAUGGACAAGCUAUUCUUCUGUUAUUAAAAAAAGAAUAAAUGAAGCAGCUUCCCUAUUCCUGGUCAGCGAAGGAAUGUGUAUCUACUACCCUUAUUACUAAUGUACAAGAGGAUCUGUGUCUGCCUUCACCUGACCGCACAGUGUUGUCAGAGGGCUGCAUUUUACGGCUUCAUCACCAGCUUGCCAUGGUCUUUGAACAUAUCACAGUCAGGUGCUUCUCUAUAGGAAAGAAGGAGAGCUGCGAACGCCAAGUGACAUGAAAUUGACUAUUUAUUUAUUUUUUAAAAGGCAUUGUGUUAAUAACAUGGAAAAACAGAGGCUGUAAUGAUCGCUAAUAAAGCACUAGUGUAUUAAUAAAGCUGCUUUGUGCAUUUCC